GGGUAAUAGUAAUAUCAAGGAGUAUUAAAUUGAUCACUAGGUUUGGAGUAGCCUCUGAGAUCCCAGCAAGGUUCAUAGAGAAGAAUGUGAGCCUCAGAGGGAGAGUCCAGACCAUCACAGAGAUGGGCCUGGAGGUGGAGCACAUCCCCAUCUACAUCCCUGUCCUCCCCCCUGCUGGCUAAAGGUGGUGGUCGUGUGUAUCCAUUGGCUGUGCGCUUGGCGGGGGUGGAGCUGACCCAGAGGGGAGGGCGUGGCUGGAGCAGCACCUGAG